GGCGAACGGGUGAGUAACACGUGGGCAAUCUGCCCUGCACUCUGGGACAAGCCCUGGAAACGGGGUCUAAUACCGGAUACUGACCCGCUUGGGCAUCCAAGCGGUUCGAAAGCUCCGGCGGUGCAGGAUGAGCCCGCGGCCUAUCAGCUUGUUGGUGAGGUAAUGGCUCACCAAGGCGACGACGGGUAGCCGGCCUGAGAGGGCGACCGGCCACACUGGGACUGAGACACGGCCCAGACUCCUACGGGAGGCAGCAGUGGGGAAUAUUGCACAAUGGGCGAAAGCCUGAUGCAGCGACGCCGCGUGAGGGAUGACGGCCUUCGGGUUGUAAACCUCUUUCAGCAGGGAAGAAGCGAAAGUGACGGUACCUGCAGAAGAAGCGCCGGCUAACUACGUGCCAGCAGCCGCGGUAAUACGUAGGGCGCGAGCGUUGUCCGGAAUUAUUGGGCGUAAAGAGCUCGUAGGCGGCUUGUCACGUCGGUUGUGAAAGCCCGGGGCUUAACCCCGGGUCUGCAGUCGAUACGGGCAGGCUAGAGUUCGGUAGGGGAGAUCGGAAUUCCUGGUGUAGCGGUGAAAUGCGCAGAUAUCAGGAGGAACACCGGUGGCGAAGGCGGAUCUCUGGGCCGAUACUGACGCUGAGGAGCGAAAGCGUGGGGAGCGAACAGGAUUAGAUACCCUGG
rnacentral:rRNA from 1 species